UGAGGAACAUGACCUUCGGCGGGGGAUAGCCGGCCCAACGGCCGGGUAAUACCGCGUACGACCACAUGGGGACAUCCCUGAGUGGUGAAAGCAGCAAUGCGCCGAUGGAGUGCCUCGCGGCCUAUCAGCUAGUUGGUGAGGUAACGGCUCACCAAGGCAACGACGGGUAGCUGGUCUGAGAGGAUGGCCAGCCACAUUGGGACUGAGACACGGCCCAGACCUNUACCGGGGAGG
rnacentral:rRNA from 1 species